AUGGAGUUCUUGGCUCUGCUCCUCUGCCUAGUUGGUUUCCUGUCCCAGGGUCAGCUGCAGGAGUCAGGAUCAGGCCUGGUAGAGCCUUCAGAGACCCUGUCUCUCACCUGCACAGUCUCUGGAUUCUCUUUAACCAGCAAUGUUUUCAGCUGGAUCCCUCAGGCUCCAGGGAAGGGGCUGGAGAAGAUUGGUGUUAUAGUUAGUAGUGGAAGCACAAGAUAUAAGUCAGCCCUUCAGGCUCGAGUGAGCAUCAGCAGGGACAUUUCCAAGAGCCAAGUCUCACACGGAGCAGCCUGA